AAAUUAUUUGAUUGGAUUUAUCUUUAUAAAAUAGUCCAACUGAAUGCUGAAGAGAGCUAGAAUAUGGUCACUGGAAACAGAAAAAAUCCGGUUUUCUCCCCAUCUGUUUAACCAUGCUCUUAUGCCCUUUUUCUUUUCUUUUUAGUUCCAAGGCACGUUGAUCGUACCUAUACAUCUCACCAAGAACAUGGAUGCUUCUCUGCUAUCAGCUGAAGCUGCUGUGACCCCAAAACUAAAAAAUCGCAUUCUGAAUCCUUGCCAAUAAAGAAUGGCCAUCAGAACACGCCCAGUAUCCUAUCUCCUCAUCCAGACAGUGUUUCUCAGUAGAGCUGGACAAUGGGCAGGUUAGUUAGACAACUGGCCAGAGUUCCAAGCUAUGCAGUGGCCUAAACAGCAUUGGAAUAAACUGGAAGUGUGGUACCUCUCAGUCAGAUCAGCUUUCUGCACAUGACUCCUCAGAUAUGACUAGGAAGAUUUCAACUCCAGUUGCUUCUGAAACUAAGAGUUACCCUGAUUCUUGCCAGAAAAAAACCUUCCCCCUCCUGGGAAACUUGUUUAUUUACUUUAACUGCCUUAUCUACUAUUCCAAGGACUUUAGAACCAUUAGGGAGAUGGAUAUUCCAUGUUCUUCCAUGGCAAAGAAAUUAAUUUUAAUCAACAGAAUGUCACUUUUUAUUCCAUGCAUUGAAGACUGCAAUGUUGAAGUGACUUCACUGACAGCUUUCACAAGCCCAUCAUUUAAGGUAAUGGAUAAAAUGAAACAUUUUACUGAAGCAAGGUUCAUUUCUUAG
rnacentral:lncRNA from 1 species